UACGUAGGGUGCAAGCGUUAAUCGGAAUUACUGGGCGUAAAGAGCUCGUAGGCGGUUCGGCAAGUCGACGGUGAAAUCUCCACGCUCAACGUGGAGGCGCCCGUCGAUACUGCUGUGACUCGAGUCCGGUAGGGGAGUGUGGAAUUCCAGGUGUAGCGGUGAAAUGCGUAGAUAUCGGAAAGAACACCAGUGGCGACAGCGGCUUCCUGGAUCAACACUGACACUGAGGCGCGAAAGCGUGGGGAGCAAACAGG
rnacentral:rRNA from 1 species